rnacentral:snoRNA from 1 species
CCCCUCUCAGGGUUGUACCUGGAGAAUUUCCAACACUCUACCAGUCUCGACUAUGGGAGGGAGAGUCAAGCAGAGACACACCCAUUCCAUUCCUAGCUUGGGUAGUGGCUAGCGAGUGAAAGGCAAUCUGCUACAAGU